UCCUCGGCGUCAGGACGACGCUGGCGGCGGUGCUUAACACAUGCAAGUCGAACGGUGAAGGGGCCUGCUUUUGUGGGUCUGGAUGAGUGGCGAACGGUGAGUACACGUGAGUACCUGCCCCUUCUUCUGGAUAACCGCAUGAAAGUGUGGCUAAUACGGGAUAUUCUGGGUCUGUCGCAUGGUGGGCCUGGGAAAGGUUUUUUCCGGUGGGGGAUGGGCUCGCGGCCUAUCAGCUUGUUGGUGGGGUGAUGGCCUACCAAGGCGGUGACGGGGUAGCCGGCCUGAGAGGGUGGACGGUCACACUGGGACUGAGACACGGCCCAGACUCCUACGGGAGGCAGGCAGUGGGGAAUAUUGCACAAUGGGCGCAAGCCUGAUGCAGCGACGCCGCGUGAGGGAUGGAGGCCUUCGGGUUGUGAACCUCUUUCGCCAGUGAAGCAGGCCUGCUCCUUUUUUGUGGGUGGGUUGACGGUAGCUGGAUAAGAAGCGCCGGCUAACUACGUG
rnacentral:rRNA from 1 species